CCUACGGGUGGCAGCAGUGGGGAAUAUUGCACAAUGGGGGGAACCCUGAUGCAGCGACGCCGCGUGGGUGAAGGAGUAUUUCGGUAUGUAAAGCCCUAUCAGCAGGGAAGAACAAUGACGGUACCUGACUAAGAAGCACCGGCUAAAUACGUGCCAGCAGCCGCGGUAAUACGUAUGGUGCAUGCGUUAUCCGGAUUUACAGGGAGGAAAGGGAGCGCAGGCGGCGCGUUAAGCCUGGUGUGAAAGCCCGCGGCCCAACCGCGGGACUGCAUUGGGAACUGGCGCGCUGGAGUGCAGGAGGGGCAGGCGGAAUUCCUGGUGUAGCGGUGAAAUGCGUAGAUAUCAGGAGGAACACCGGUGGCGAAGGCGGCCUGCUGGACUGCGACUGACGUUGAGGCCCGAAAGCGUGGGGAGCAAACAGGAUUAGAUACCCCUGUAGUC
rnacentral:rRNA from 1 species